AACAAAUAUUGCUUUUAGACCCUAUAUUGCCUUUGUCUCUUGGGGGCCUUAAGAACCUUCAACUGUCUCUUUCUUGUCUGUAUACAUUUGGAGAAGAGACCAAAUAGAUUAGAGCUGUGUCUGUUCUUGUAGUUAAAGACGCUAAGGGAUCAAAUAAGGCGUGCUAUAUAUCCUAGAGCCAGAAGAUGCAGCUAAGAGAAUCAAUUCAGAAGACCAAGACGUUCUUCCACAAGACUUUCCAAAAUCUCAAGUCCCUCUGCUUUGGAGGGUAUCAAAAGCUGCCCAAGCCCUUCUCAUGUGCCACCAGCAGCACAAAGAAUCACCACACAGAUCAAUACUACACUGACUUUUGCAAUGAGUGGGAGUGUGAUCUAGAAAAGGCAAUGAAGAGGAAGAAGAAUGGUAUCCCGUUAUCAAAAGAAUUGGCAAGAGAAGAAGAUGGAUGUAAUGGAAGUUCCUUAAAGCUUCCAACGAGUCCACUGAAGAAGAAAGAAGAGGGAAUAAAGGAAGAGAAGAGCAAGAAACGUUUCAAUUCAAGAAACCAAGAAAAAUGCUCAGAUAAGAAGAAUGAAGGAGGUAAUGCACUAGCAAAAAAGAUGAAGGAAUUGGAAAUGAUUGAUGGGAGUGAUAUGGAACAUGUGUUGGAUGUAGAAGAAGCACUUCACUAUUACUCUCGUCUUAAAAGCCCAGUAUAUGUUGACAUUGUUGACAAGUUCUUCACUGAUAUGUACAAACAAUUCUCUGUUCCACAGCGGUCAGCCAGCCUCAACAGUUCAAAUCGAAGACUUGGUUCAAUUAGGAUAUAGAUGGAUGCCAAUGUUUGUGAGUUCUUCCUUGUGCAUAUGCAUUUGUUUCCUUGUCCUAAUUGUUCCUUUAAAUAUUACAAUGAAUGUAUCUUAUUUUGCAUUAUUGAUUUGAUAUGAUAUUCAGUUUCUGGAUUGCAAUUCUUGAUCCUAUUUGAUUACUGAGAGAUGAAUAUGUUUUAGAAAAUAGGAGUUGAAAUUUCUCCUGCUCUAAAGGGCUGUGUAGUAAAAUGUUUAGUAAAGAAUCUUCUCAAAUAGAUGCAAUAAAUGGA
rnacentral:misc_RNA from 1 species